rnacentral:rRNA from 1 species
ACUUUCAGCGGGGAGGAAGGGAGUAAAGUUAAUACCUUUGCUCAUUGACGUUACCCGCAGAAGAAGCACCGGCUAACUUCGUGCCAGCAGCCGCGGUAAUACGGAGGGUGCAAGCGUUAAUCGGAAUUACUGGGCGUAAAGCGCACGCAGGCGGUUUGUUAAGUCAGAUGUGAAAUCCCCGGGCUCAACCUGGGAACUGCAUCUGAUACUGGCAAGCUUGAGUCUCGUAGAGGGGGGUAGAAUUCCAGGUGUAGCGG